GAUGAACGCUGGCGGCGUGCCUAAUACAUGCAAGUCGAGCGAACAGACGAGGAGCUUGCUCCUCUGACGUUAGCGGCGGACGGGUGAGUAACACGUGGAUAACCUACCUAUAAGACUGGGAUAACUUCGGGAAACCGGAGCUAAUACCGGAUAAUAUAUUGAACCGCAUGGUUCAAUAGUGAAAGACGGUUUUGCUGUCACUUAUAGAUGGAUCCGCGCCGCAUUAGCUAGUUGGUAAGGUAACGGCUUACCAAGGCAACGAUGCGUAGCCGACCUGAGAGGAGGAUGAGCCACAGGGGAACUGAGACACGGGCCAGACUAAGACGGGAGGCAGAAGUGGGGAAGAUUGGACAAGGGGCGAAAGCCGGAUCCAGCCAUAAAGCGUGGGUGAAGAAGGUCUUAGGGGUGUAAAGCGCUUUUGUUGGGAAAGAAAAGAAGCAGGUGAAUAACCCGCUGUUAGGACGGGAGACAAAGAAUAAGCAAAGGCGAAAUUCGUG
rnacentral:rRNA from 1 species